rnacentral:RNase_P_RNA from 2 species
UGAGUAAACCGGGUGACCGCCCCGAUAACAAUCGGGGAGGAAAGUCCGAGCUCCCCCGGGCAGGAUGCUGGGUAACACCCAGGAGGGGUAACCCUACGGAGAGUGCAACAGAAACAUACCGUCCCGAUUUAUCGGGAUAAGGGUGAAAUGGCGAGGUAAGAGCUCACCAGCGGCUGGGUGACCAGCCGGCUGGGCAAACCCCAUCCGGAGCAAGACCAAAUAGAGGGAUACAGGGACGCCCGGCCCAGUCCCCGGGUUGGUCGCUUGACCCCUCCGGUAACGGAAGGGCUAGAUAGAUGGUCACCGUCCCGAUUUUAUCGGGAUACAGAACUCGGCUUACAGGUUCACUUAACCC